rnacentral:rRNA from 1 species
GGAAUAUUGCACAAUGGGGGAAACCCUGAUGCAGCAACGCCGCGUGAGCGAUGAAGGCUUUCGAGUCGUAAAGCUCUGUCCUAAGGGAAGAAUACCUGACGGUACCUUAGGAGGAAGCCCCGGCUAACUACGUGCCAGCAGCCGCGGUAAUACGUAGGGGGCAAGCGUUAUCCGGAAUCACUGGGCGUAAAGGGUGCGUAGGUGGCUAAUCAAGCCAGGGGUGAAAGGCUACGGCUUAACCGUAGUAAGCCUUUGGAACUGAUUGGCUUGAGUGCAGGAGAGGAGAGCGGAAUUCCUAGUGUAGCGGUGAAAUGCGUAGAUAUUAGGAGGAACACCAGUGGCGAAGGCGGCUCUCUGGACUGUAACUGACGCUGAGGCACGAAAGCGUGGGGAGCAAA